CACGAACGCUGGCGGCAGGCUUAACACAUGCAAGUCGAGCGCCCCGCAAGGGGAGCGGCAGACGGGUGAGUAACGCGUGGGAAUCUACCCAUCUCUACGGAAUAACGCAUGGAAACGUGUGCUAAUACCGUAUACGUCCUUCGGGAGAAAGAUUUAUCGGAGAUGGAUGAGCCCGCGUUGGAUUAGCUAGUUGGUGGGGUAACGGCCUACCAAGGCGACGAUCCAUAGCUGGUCUGAGAGGAUGAUCAGCCACACUGGGACUGAGACACGGCCCAGACUCCUACGGGAGGCGGCAGUGGGGAAUAUUGGACAAUGGGCGCAAGCCUGAUCCAGCCAUGCCGCGUGAGUGAUGAAGGCCCUAGGGUUGUAAAGCUCUUUCACCGGUGAAGAUAAUGACGGUAACCGGAGAAGAAGCCCCGGCUAACUUCGUGCCAGCCGCCGCUGUAACAC
rnacentral:rRNA from 1 species